GUUAAUUUCACAGAUGGAAUGUUCAGAGGAAUCUACAAUGGCAAGCAACACCAUGUAGCUGAUGUAGCUACGGUGCUAAGCCGGGCUUGGAGCGCUGGUGUUGAUAGAAUAAUUGUGACUGGUGGGUCCCUUGAGGAAUCGAAAGCAGCUCUGGCCAUUGCAGCGACUGAUGGAAGGCUCUUUUGUACAGUUGGGGUCCACCCUACAAGGUGCAA
rnacentral:misc_RNA from 1 species